GUGUUGUACCCGGCUUAAUAUACAAUCGCAGAUGUGCUAAAGUUACCGAUAAUACAGGAAUGUGCUUGGGAAUGGACAACGACAAGACCGCCUUUCUUUCAUUGCCUCCAUGUGGUUAUUUUACCGUAAUCAAUUAUCCAGUCAAACGAUCACGAGGUAUGCAUUGCAUCAUUCAUAAUAGACAACAUGCAUGUUAGACUACUUUUCUAGUUGAUUUUGAUAAAAGAUGUAAAGUCAGACAAAGAACUUAUUCAUUACAAUUAAUAAAAUUGUAAAAUUUGAUUACAAAAUGUUGUACAAUACAACAAAAUAUAGCUUUCCAAAGUUUACAUUCUAGGAACGGCCGUAGGAACAGCGAUUAGCAAUUAAAUCAAGAGACUUGUGUCUAAGCAAUCUUUCGCGAUGACUAGUUAAAACCAAAGAUACGUGCGCUAAGAAAUUAGACAUCUAUCAAUCCUAAAGAACGGUUUAAACUAGAGGUGUGCGUCGGAUCGGAUUGACCUCUUUGAAUCCGAUGGUUUGUCUAAAUUCUCAAUCCGAAACCGAUCCAAUCCGAAGAUGAAAAAGGCAAUCCGAUCCGAUCCGAAAAAAUGUUUAUAAAAUCCGAUCCGAUGCUAAAAUUCGUAAUCCGAUCCGAACUUAAGUUGUUACAUACAGCGUGCGUUAAUUAUUCGGUGUAUUAACGUAUUUUUUUAUGAUCAUAAACGCUUUAUUAGAAAUAAUGAAUUUCCAGCAAAAAUAAGCAGAGACGAAUCCGAUAAAAAUUGCAGCGCGAUAUCACACAAUUAUGCCUUAAACAGUUUUACUAGCGUAGAAAAAAAAACCCGACUAGUCACCGAGUUAUUAUAACAAUGCAUGACCUUGAGCUGUGUUUACAAUUUAAAACAUCUUAAAGUUUAUCACUAAUAAAUCUCAUUGUCAGUGCUUCAUGACACAUAAACCUAACAAACUAAACAAAGAAUCACAACAUUUCUAUAUCCCAAUUUCCAUACGUAACCGAUUUAAGAAGAAUCCACAUAACGCCAGGGUUUCUUUUGUCAGAAAUAUCAAAACACUUCUUUACUUUAUUGUCAUCGCUCGGCAUUAUAUAGUAUUACUCCGCUUCGACCAAAUCACUCGACUUACUCAUACAACUAUCUUAGUUUGUUAAAAUAUUCCAGUAAUUCGACGUAAUACAAGAAAAACAAACAAAUCCGAUCCGACAAAAAAGCUACAAAAUCCGAUCCGAUCCGACAAUAAAAAAAAGAAAUCCGAUCCGAUCCAAGUGAAUUACUGUCCAAAUCCGAUCGGAUCGGAUUGGAUCGGAUUCGGAUCGGAUUCGCACACCUUUAGUUUAAACCAUGUAGUUCCCUUACGAACUAGACCUAUCCACCUAAAUGGGCCCCCAUGGUCAACCUCAAAAAAUUGCUCCAGCGAUCCCUUAGCAAAGGGAACUUAAUUAAAUUUAGUGAAGGAAACUUUUUGAAAAAUCAAACAAGCAAUGCCAGCAGCGCCUAAGAAAUUGUGUGAAUCGAGAAAGGAAAGUCUGCCGAUCAAAGUGCUACGAAGCAAAAGUUGAAUAUUUAAAAGACCGUAAACCAGCGUUCAACAACUAAGUUUCGUCAUCCAAUAAUUAUCAAAGCUUCGUUUGAAAUAGAAUUUUAACUCCAGCGACAAAAUUGUUGAAAUAAAGGCGUCUUUAUACUGCCUCGCUUACAGGAAUGACUUCCCUUGUAGAGCAAAUAAAAACUAUGUGUUCUUAUGAAAAUUUUCAUCGCAAAUCGCGAAAUUAAAUCGCGAAUUUUAUUUCACUUAUGGAGCCAAAAUUUUAAACGAGUUUGGUCAUGCCAUUUUAAUUACAAGGAAAAGAGCAUUGGUUCAAAAAAGGGUCUUGUUAAGGAAAAAAACCCAUAAAACUUUGUAAAAAUUGAUACAUCAAGAGGCGUUGAUAUUUGUUUUCGUGACUUCAAUCCUGUAUAACGUACGUUUAAAUUUUAUCGCUCCCGCCUAUUUUGCUUUUGGGUGCAGAGAAAUGAACACCAUGUAAUUUUUAUUCAAACGGCAAUGAACACCAUGUGACUUUUAUUGAGAUAUAUAUGACGAUGAAGGCACCCGGGAUAUCUUGUUUAACGUGUUUAACCUGAACUGACGCUAAAAGUAGUAAAAAUGAAAUAUUUACUUAUUAUAAUAAUUGUUAUUGAUGUAUCUGUAGUUUUAAAACUCAUAGUGUGAUUAUUUAUAUAUUAUAGGCUGGAAACCUUCAUGGCGGUCGUGAAGAAAAUUUUUUUUUGUAGUUUUUAGAAAAACACAGCAAAUACAUGAUUGGUGAAAUUUUGGGGAUAGAAUAGUUUGGUGAUGUACUGA
rnacentral:lncRNA from 1 species